GCGGGUAUAGCUCAGUUGGUAGAGCGUGGUCCUUCCAAGUCCAAUGCCGCGUGUUCGAAUCACGUUGCCCGCU
rnacentral:tRNA from 1 species